UUUUUUUUUUUUUUUUUUCAGGGCCGCCACACCUGCAACAUAUGGAAGUUCCCACACUAGGGGUUCGAAUAGUAGCUGAAACUGCUGGUCUCUGCCACAACCACAGCAAUGCCAGAUCCAAGCUGCAUCCAAGCUUGCAGCAAUGCUGGAUCCUUAAUCCGAUGAGUGAGGCCAAUGACUGAAUCCUCAUCCUCAGGGACACUAUGUCAGGUUCUUAAUCCACUAAGCUACAAUAGGGACUCCCACUACAUAAUUUUAUACAGAGAAAAUAUUCAUUCUUCAGACCUUGCUUGAACUCUUGACCCACAAAGGUAUGAAUCAAUAAAACAGUUAUUGUGCUAAGCCACUCAGUUUGGAGAAUUUGUUAUGUGUGAUAGAUAACCAGAAGUUACCAUUUUUAUUCCAGGAUAAGCAUUCUGGUACACAAUGAUACACAACCAGAAAUGCCACCAUUUUUAUACCAGAAGAGCUGCCCAUGCUUUCCCAAGUUCAUAGACUCUUGGAAGUCCAUUUUUCUUUUUUAAUUAGAAGCAGGCCUCCCACCAUUCAGUGUUCCAAAUAUGUACUUACUACAACUAAUUGGGUCACACAGCAGUUACAAAUAGCCAUGACAACAAAGUAAGCCUUUUAAAUAUAUCUAAUAUGUUCAUGUCUUUACUCAAAAAACAAUUAUUGGCCUGAGACCAAUUACAGUGUUGAAAAGAAAAUAACUGUCACAUAACCACUUCUUGUGCUAGGUGCUGUACAAAAUGACAAGAAUGUAACGUGAUUUAAAAAGAAGGGAAAGUGUUAGUUCCUAUGUGGUAAAUCCUAUCAAUUCAGAUCAGCUUGUAAAGGACCCAAGGAAGAGAGCAGGAGGAUUUAGUGGAAUAGAAUCUUCCCACUCCACAGUGACUGGUGAUAGUGAGGCCUCAUCUCAGUGUUUUCACAGUAAAUACAUGAUUCCUGGGACACUGCAGGCACUCAGUACACCUUUCUGAAUGAAUGAAUGAAUUCUGAAUGAAUGCAAAUAGCCUAUGAUAGUAGAAUUCAGUGGUUAAGUGAAUCGCCUUGACUUUCAUUUAAAGACUAAGUCUACACUCAGCUAAAGGGAGUCUUCUACACAAUCUGGGCCACCUCCUCUUGUGGUUCAGUGUUAAAGCCACACCUAACACUAAAAAGUUCUUUUGCAAUUCCUGUUGCUCCAUUAGAAACCUUUUGAAAGAAACAGCUGGUAAUGGAUAAGGUUCCAGUGUUCCUGGAUCUUCUGACCAUAAACCAUUAAUCUAUUCCAUAGGUGAUAGUUCUCUUUCUUGGUAACUUCUAAAAUGAUUAGGAUUUUGGUAAAAGGAGGGUAUUCUGGAAGGGAUAAUGGUGUGAACACAGGUCCAAAGAGAGGAACACACAAAGAAUAUUCUGGAAAUAAGGAGGUUUUCAGUGCAACAUAUUUCAAAUAGCUUUUUAUGAACCACUGGCAAGUUGUGCCAUCAAGUUAGUGUGAUAUAAUCAGUCUUUUAAAUGAAAUAUUGAAAUAGAAUAGAAUAGAAUAAAGUAUCAAAGUGCAUCACAGAAAAUAAGAGUAGGUCUCUUUGAAUAAUAUUUAAGUUGUGUAUUUAUGAUGUAUCUCUGUGUAUACUAAGUCCCACUGAGUAAUCUCUUCUUUCUCUGGGUCAUGAUCAAAGUAGUUUAAGAACCACUGUCCUAGGGGGACGUCAGCAGAAACCACUGGGGGAUCUUGAAUUGCAGGAACCAAAGCUUUUAUUUUAUUCUUUCAUCAAAGCAAAUCCUUCCGGACGCAUUCAUGAUUUAAUUCAUGCCCAAGUGUUAAAUUCUCAAGAAUUCUGAUACCAGUACUUUUUAUAUGGCCUAAUUUUAUUAAGAACUACAAAAUCCAGUUUCCUCUAUUUUAGUGGAUAUAGCACCUAUCAUGUAAAGCUAUACUGUAACUUUCCUCCUUUUUCAAUUUUGCAUAUAUUCCCUAAAGCCCUGUGCUACUCAAAAAGAUAUAAUACGAUUUGAAACAAACAUGACUCCAGGGCUUCCUCAUCUUCAUCACUUGUUGGUUGUUGACCUUGACAUUGAUUCAAUUAGAAGUGACUUGCCAAUCAUACAGUCUCUUUGCUAAAGCCAGCCUUCUCACACCAUGGAGAAGGCUAUUCAGUUAGUAAAGAUUUUUGAAUGAACCCAAGGCUAAAAGGGAAAAAAAAAAAUCUUACAAUGUUAGAGGCUAUAAACUAGCGGUGGGGGAGGGGUCCAUUUCACAGACUCCAACAUUUCUCCUGUUAUUAUGACAGUCAAUGAACUGAGGUGUAAGAGGAGGGGCCACACAUAAUUUGCAGGCAAAUAAAUUGCUUCAAAAUGUCACCAACUGUGAGGUUAUUUCAUCUGUUCCUUGACACGGACCUCAGUAAGUAAGGUGGCUCAAGCUCGUCCUUGUCAAUUCUCCCUUGGCCUCAGAAUACAGGUAAGCAAAAUGUCCCCAUCACAUCCUGGCCGUAGAGUGAGCUGGCAGAGAGCAGGACUUGUUAAGACUGUCAAGUACCAUUCACCAAUUUAUGCCUGUGGAGUGGUUCCCCCUGGAAAGGAACCAAAUAACUCAUGCUUUUUGAAAAUUGCUUAUGACAGCUUUUCGGUCUGCUUUAGGCUGGCUCUCCACGGUGAUUUGUAUUUUCAUAUACUGCUCAUACAUUAAAAAAUUUACACCUGUCACGUAUUGACAGAGUGCCUCCAUCCCUGCCCAUUUUUGGGGGGUGGGGGAUCCUUUGCUUCCAGACAUUAUCCAAAUAAAUUUCUAUCAAGAGUAAGAUGACAUAACAGGUGGAGGCACAAGAAAUAUGUAGUGUGUAAGUAUGGAAUUUUAAUAAGAUACCGAGUCUUUGGACUCUUUGAAGGAAUAGAAGUUGCCAUAGUUCUAGGACAUUUGAAACUGUGUGCUCAGUUAUGGGCUGAUGAUGUGGAGCAACCAUAAUUGUAGCUACAGCAGAGGCAGAACUUGCAAAAUGUGUCUUAUUGUUCUUGAUGGAAUCAUAUUUCCUCUCUGCAUCUGAUUUAUGCUUAGAAUUAGAAAAAAUAAGACAGGCCAUGGUAUCUUCUUCUUUUGUUUUAAAGUAAAUGACAAUAAAUACGAUUGCCAAGCAAUGUUUGUGUCAGUUACUUGGUCUUAGCCGCUUCCAAAAUUGCUUAUUCCAUAGAGGCUUAUAAAUUUCACCUCCGGCAGAUCAGUGUUACAUUAUUCUUAUCAAACAGCUUCCUGGGAUAUAAGAGUAUGUCAAAUAUCAGUGGGGUAAUGACAUGUUAUUUAGCCCAAUUAGGAAGAUGUGUGUGGUCUGAACACCGUGAAUCAUCAGUCUGGAAAUAUGAAAAGAGGUCUUUUCUUUCUUUUAGCUCAGAAAUCCUUCACCAUUACCAGGCUACCAGGCCAAAAAUAAAUAAAUAAAUAAAUAAAAAUAAAAAAUCUAUUUGUCUUAGAGAGCGUAGGUGCAAUUCUUUCGGAAAAUACCCUUUGGCUCCUUCUCACCACUUUAAAAGGUCAUAAAGUUUUUUGGAGGGUGGGGAACAAAACAAAACAACUAUGACAAACAAACAGCCCAAACAACUUGGAGAACGAAACAAUACAGGGAAAGCAUCAAUGCAAAUAUCCCAGUCUGCAUGUAAUGAAACGGGAAUUAAUAUUCAUUUGAACAUGAAAAGUUAAGUUUUUUAUACUCAUGUGACUAUAAAUAAUACUACAAUAACUCUUCUGAACAGUAAUACUAAUUAUCUCUGCUCUUAAAGUCAAAUAAAUGGCUAGAUGAUCAGCAUUAAAAUCCACAGUUUGUCCACUAUAAAUUAAUGUUAUCAACAAGAUCACUGUUCUCAACUAGAAAAAGGGUUUUUUUUUUUGUCUUUUUGCUAUUUCUUGGGCCGCUCCCGUGGCAUAUGGAGGUUCCCAGGCUAGGGGUCGAAUCGGAGCUGUAGCCACCGGCCUACGCCAGAGCCACAGCAACGCGGGAUCCGAGCCGUGUCUGCAACCUACACCACAGCUCACAGCAACGCCGGAUCGUUAACCCACUGAGCAAGGGCAGGAACCGAACCCGCAACCUCAUGGUUCCUCGUCGGAUUCGUUAACCACUGCACCACGACAGGAACUCCUAGAAAAAGGGUUUUAAUCUCAGCCAUCUAACCAAGAUUUACCAUCCUUUCUUUACGGUUGACACACGAAGUGUUGAAUUAUUGGCUUACAGUCAUUUAUUUAUCAUAUUUGAAGAAUAAUCUGUCAUUUUCAACAUGACCAAUCAUAAGAUGCUACUGAAAUCCCAAACUGUUCAGACUGGGUUAUUUGUUCUCUGAGUGUAAUGCUAAACACGAUAAUUAUGCUCAGGGUUUUGCAGAAAGUGACAAAACCCAAAAGAACCCAGAUUUGGAAAUGUAUGGUCACGCCUUCAAGGGGAAGCCAAUUUUUGUCUGACCUCUCUGUGACCAGCACAAAAAGCAAUGGCAAAGGAGGGCUUAACAGUCAAUAAUUUACAGGUCACAGUCCAUUUCUAGGAAAUAGUAUAGGGAAACUUGGGCCCACGUGACGUAACAGAGAUAGCUAAGUAUCUCACUUGGUGUUCAAAUCAAUUUAUUUCUAAAAUUAUGUCUCCAUGAUGGAGAGAUUGAGAGGGUUCCCGCCAAUGAGAAAGGCUAAUUAAAGUCAAAACGUAAAUAAGAUAUAAUAGACCCCUGGGCCAGGAACAAGUAGAUGUGGAUUUAAAUCUCAUAUAGCCAUUAACUAGCCAUGGGAGUUUGGCCAAUUCACCUUGACUCUUCAUAUCUCAGAUGGAAAAAUUAAGAGGUGCAACUAGAUACUUUCUAAAUUCCCUUUCAUUUAUAAAUUUGAGAUUGUCAUAAAGGUAUAGGUGUCUUUGUUUACAUGGAAACACUAUCUUUUUCUCCAAAUUAGGGUUUCAUUUAGUUACAUUUAAAAGCCCAGAGAGUGCCUUUAAAAGAUUUCUUUAAUGAAACAAAAUAUAUUUUAGGCUUUUAAAAAUUCAUUUAGAUUCACUGUUUAUAAUUAGC
rnacentral:lncRNA from 1 species